GCCGCAUUAGCACAAUGGUAGUGCGUUGCUUUCCUAUCGACCGAAGCUUCAUAGGUCUAGGCAAAGGUUGCGGGUUCGAGUCCCGUGUGUGGUU
rnacentral:tRNA from 1 species